rnacentral:rRNA from 1 species
AGCAGCCGCGGUAAUUCCAGCUCCAAUAGCGUAUAUUAAAGUUGUUGCAGUUAAAAAGCUCGUAGUUGAAUUUCGAGAUCAGUACGCUGGUCGUGCCACAGGUAUGUACUGGUCUUGCUGAUUCCUCCCUCUUGACGAGCCGUAAUGCCAUUAAUUUGGUGUUGCGGGGAAUCAGGACUGUUACUUUGAAAAAAU